UACAGAGGCCUCGAGCGUUAGGCGGAAUCACUGGGCUUAAAGCGUGUGUAGGCGGACUUCUAAGUACCUUGUGAAAUCCCACGGCUCACCCGUGGAACUGCUUGGUAUACUGGUUGUCUUGAGCCUUCUAGGGGCGAGUGGAACAAAUGGUGGGGCGGUGAAAUGCGUAGAUAUCAUUUGGAACGCCAAUGGUGAAAACAGGUCGCUGGGGACGUGCUGACGCUGAGACACGAAAGCCAGGGGAGCGAACGGG
rnacentral:rRNA from 1 species